GACGAACGCUGGCGGCGUGCCUAAUACAUGCAAGUAGAACGCUGAAGGAGGAGCUUGCUUCUCUGGAUGAGUUGCGAACGGGUGAGUAACGCGUAGGUAACCUGCCUGGUAGCGGGGGAUAACUAUUGGAAACGAUAGCUAAUACCGCAUAAGAGUAGAUGUUGCAUGACAUUUGCUUAAAAGGUGCAAUUGCAUCACUACCAGAUGGACCUGCGUUGUAUUAGCUAGUUGGUGGGGUAACGGCUCACCAAGGCGACGAUACAUAGCCGACCUGAGAGGGUGAUCGGCCACACUGGGACUGAGACACGGCCCAGACUCCUAUGGGAGGCAGCAGUAGGGAAUCUUCGGCAAUGGACGGAAGUCUGACCGAGCAACGCCGCGUGAGUGAAGAAGGUUUUCGGAUCGUAAAGCUCUGUUGUAAGAGAAGAACGAGUGUGAGAGUGGAAAGUUCACACUGUGACGGUAUCUUACCAGAAAGGGACGGCUAACUACGUG
rnacentral:rRNA from 1 species